rnacentral:rRNA from 1 species
GACGAACGCUGGCGGCGUGCUUAACACAUGCAAGUCGAGCGGAAAGGCCCUUCGGGGUACUCGAGCGGCGAACGGGUGAGUAACACGUGAGUAACCUGCCCCAGACUUCGGGAUAACCCUCGGAAACGGGGGCUAAUACCGGAUACGACACAGCUUCGCAUGGGGUCUGUGUGGAAAGUUUUUCGGUUUGGGAUGGGCUCGCGGCCUAUCAGCUUGUUGGUGGGGUGAUGGCCUACCAAGGCGACGACGGGUAGCCGGCCUGAGAGGGCGACCGGCCACACUGGGACUGAGACACGGCCCAGACUCCUACGGGAGGCAGCAGUGGGGAAUAUUGCACAAUGGGCGGAAGCCUGAUGCAGCGACGCCGCGUGAGGGAUGACGGCCUUCGGGUUGUAAACCUCUUUCAGCAGGGACGAAGCGUAAGUGACGGUACCUGCAGAAGAAGCGCCGGCAAACUACGUG